CCUACGGGAGGCAGCAGUGGGGAAUCUUGCGCAAUGGGCGAAAGCCUGACGCAGCCAUGCCGCGUGAAUGAUGAAGGUCUUAGGAUUGUAAAAUUCUUUCACCGGGGACGAUAAUGACGGUACCCGGAGAAGAAGCCCCGGCUAACUUCGUGCCAGCAGCCGCGGUAAUACGAAGGGGGCUAGCGUUGCUCGGAAUUACUGGGCGUAAAGGGAGCGUAGGCGGAUAGUUUAGUCAGAGGUGAAAGCCCAGGGCUCAACCUUGGAAUUGCCUUUGAUACUGGCUAUCUUGAGUGUGGGAGAGGUUAGCGGAACUCCGAGUGUAGAGGUGAAAUUCGUAGAUAUUCGGAAGAACACCAGUGGCGAAGGCGGCUAACUGGCCCAUUACUGACGCUGAGGCUCGAAAGCGUGGGGAGCAAACAGGAUUAGAUACCCUGGUAGUCCACGCCGUAAACGAUGAGUGCUAGUUGUCGGCAUGCAUGCAUGUCGGUGACGCGAGCUACGACAUUAAGACACUCCGCCGUCGGGAGGUACGGUCGGCGAGAAGUUAAACGUAACUAAUAGUUAAGUUAGUACGGCGUUGAGACGUUGCCGACGGACGACGACGAGGGGAGGAGG
rnacentral:rRNA from 1 species